AUGGAAAAUUGCAUUUUUGGAAUUUGCAAUUAUGCGAUGGGCAAACAACGGGAAUUGAACCCGCGCAAGGUGGAUUCACAAUCCACUGCCUUGAUCCACUUGGCUACAUCUGCCCCUUAUCCAGCUGAAGGAUUUUUUCUUUUUUCCAUUAUUCAUUAUUCUAUUUAUUCCAACCUUCGUACUUUGAUCGAGAUAUUGGACAUAUAA
rnacentral:tRNA from 1 species